rnacentral:lncRNA from 1 species
AUGGGGUCAAACCUCUCUGCUCUCCAGGCUUCCUUUACCUCCUCUGCUGAAGAAGCCGUCCCACUGCAGCCCCAUCCAGCUGCAUUUAACAGAAGACCAAGGACCAAAAAACCCAACCAAAAACAGGAGACUUUUCUUCACACCAGAACAUUUAAAGAUCACUUCCUCCUUCAAACCAAAUCUGUGCAAAUAACUUUAUGGAUACAGCAAAGAGACAGACGUCACUCGAGUGCAUCAGCCACGCACCCUCCCCACUCAGGCCUGAAUACAAACAUCAUAAAGCUUUUUCCUAGGAAACACGGAAUGCACAAUAGCAGGUCUUGGUUUCAGGACCUGACCCUCCUGCUAAUUGCAGACCUACAGCUGAUGCUUCCCUUCCUUCUCAAGUUCCUUCAAGAGCUCACCUCCCCCUUACCAAGCCCCAAGAAGCAAAUAAGCUUGUCUCUAAUAAGGGGUGGGCUCCUCAUCAGCUCUAAUUCAAGACCAGGUAUUUUCAUGUUUGGUGUUGGCCAACUGCUUGAGCUUCUAUCUGGCAGGUGGUACAGUUUCCAAAGGAUCUUGUUGGGAUGCAGGCAGCCCAGUGCCACUGCACACCAUUCUCCCCACUGAAAGAGCUCUGGCAGGCAGCAGAUAACAGAAUCUCAUCACCAGCAUAAGCUGGUGGAGUGGUAUGACAAGAAAAUGAGCUGCACAGAACAGCGAAGUGAAAAUAUGUUUACUGCUUCCCACCGGUAGGUAGACAUCUCUUCCAUAACACAUGCAGACACAUAGAUGUGGCACUGAGUGACAUGGUCAGAGGGCAUGAUGAUGGAGGAUUAACUCAGUGGUCUUUUCCAGCCUUAAUGAUGCUGUGAUGCUGCGACAGACCAUGUCCCCAGAAAGAUGCUUUUCCAUGCUAUUAAAGGCAAUCUGGGCUACACACCAUCACUUCCUUCGAGGAAUACCCAGCCAGCAGAGUGAGCGUGGCAUAUCUCAGACAAGAUGCAGUGAUAAAAGAAGGCAUUUCAUCUGCCUUGGACUACUAGCCAUGGAAAUGGGUACCAGGACCCUCAAGUAAAGGGUAUUGGUCUGUAUUAGCAAAAUAUUUCCCAUCUUGAUUCAGAGAAGCCCAAUGUUUAUCAAAACUGACCAUAAAAUACACGCUGUCAUUGCUAAACAGACGCACAAUUUGCAAUGGGGAUGCAAAUCUGCAGCAGAGCGUGAAAGCAGACAUUUCCUAGAGCAUUUCACAACACACACAGCAGCAAAGUUCUGAGCCUGAUUAUGUACGUGUUAAUCUGAUCAAAAUAAAACCCGUGUCCUGUCAGCA